rnacentral:rRNA from 1 species
GACGAACGCUGGCGGCGUGCUUAACACAUGCAGGUCGAACGGAAAGGCCCUGCUUUUGUGGGGUGCUCGAGUGGCGAACGGGUGAGUAACACGUGAGUAACCUGCCCUUGACUUUGGGAUAACUUCAGGAAACUGGGGCUAAUACCGGAUAGGAGCUCCUGCUGCAUGGUGGGGGUUGGAAAGUUUCGGCGGUUGGGGAUGGACUCGCGGCUUAUCAGCUUGUUGGUGGGGUAGUGGCUUACCAAGGCUUUGACGGGUAGCCGGCCUGGGAGGGUGACCGGCCACAUUGGGACUGAGAUACGGCCCAGACUCCUACGGGAGGCAGCAGUGGGGAAUAUUGCACAAUGGGCGGAAGCCUGAUGCAGCAACGCCGCGUGCGGGAUGACGGCCUUCGGGUUGUAAACCGCUUUCGCCUGUGACGAAGCGUGAGUGACGGUAAUGGGUAAAGAAGCACCGGCUAACUACGUG